GCAGCCAUUACUCAGUUGCAAAUUUAGUUAUAAUUACCUUAAAAAUCACAGAGUGCACUCCAAUCUUCUAUAAAAUCCAAAGAAGCAUUCCUAUAGAAAGCUCGGCAUAUAGGAAUAUUGAACAAUCAAAGCUACAUAACAAUUAGAUUUUGUCAAUGUCUUCAUCUUCAAACUCAAUAUAGUCAUCGGCGCCGCCUUCCUCGUCUUCAUCGAGACCGCCUGCGAUACCCUCAUUGAGACGGACAUUCUCUGGAAGCUCACC
rnacentral:rRNA from 1 species